rnacentral:rRNA from 2 species
UACGGCGAGUGAAGCGGGAAGAGCUCAAAUUUGAAAUCUGGUAGCCUUCGGUUGCCCGAGUUGUAAUCUAGAGAAGUGUUUUCCGCGUUGGCCCAUGUACAAGUCCCUUGGAACAGGGCGUCAUAGAGGGUGAGAAUCCCGUCCUUGACAUGGACCCCCAAUGCUUUGUGAUACACUUUCAACGAGUCGAGUUGUUUGGGAAUGCAGCUCAAAAUGGGUGGUGAAUUCCAUCUAAAGCUAAAUAUUGGCGAGAGACCGAUAGCGAACAAGUACCGUGAGGGAAAGAUGAAAAGCACUUUGGAAAGAGAGUUAAACAGUACGUGAAAUUGUUGAAAGGGAAACGAUUGAAGUCAGUCAUGCUCUUUGGAUUAAGCCGUUCUGCGGUGUAUUUCAUUGAGCGGGGUCAACAUCAGUUUUGAUCGCUGGAAAAGGGCAGGAGGAAGGUAGCACUCUCGGGUGAACUUAUAGCCUCUUGUCGUAUACAGUGAUUGGGACUGAGGAACGCAGCAUGCCUUUUGGCCGGGAUUCGUCCACGUACAUGCUUAGGAUGUUGACAUAAUGGCUUUAAACGACCCGU